rnacentral:lncRNA from 1 species
AAGAGACAAGUUUUACUGUUUUCUCCUAUGAUGACAUCCUCUUGUUUCAGUGACUUUGGUGGCCUGUUGACUUAGCCUUUCCACUCCAUCAGUUGUGAGAGGAGGAACAAUUUCUAGAGUUGAGAAGAGAAACCCAAAGGCAAACCUGUUGGUCGACACAGCAACACCUUCUCCUGUGAUAUCAAAAACGAAGCUGGAAAUGGAAACCGUGAUGGAGAUUGUGCCAGGGAAAGAAAAGCCUGUUCAGCAUUAUACCAUCCUCACACUCACUACACCUGUCAAUUUUCUCUCCGAGAUUCCUGUCAGACUGCCAUUUCACUCCCCAGCCUCUAUUAGACUGCCUGCUGCAUUGCAUAGUAAUGGCCUAAAAUCCCCAAAUGACGGAAACUUUAAAUGGCCAGAUGGAGAAAACAAGCUUCAUGAAAGAAAACCAGAACAUGUCCUGGAGAUUGCUUCCACCAGGAUGGAGGUUGUUCUUUGAAGAUCCCAUGGAGAAGCACAUCCAUUCCGAUGACUUGGGACCACCUGUGAACUCUCGCAGCCAGGGUAACAGAGAAUCUGCUGAGGUCCACAUAUGUGCCGGGAGAAUCUACUCCACAGUAUAAGCAUCACAUAUCAUCCUAAAUUGUCAAUUCCACCAAUAUAAACAAUUAAGAACACUAUUUUUAAAUAGAAAAAAUAUUACAGUUUUUAAGGUGUAUUUUAUAUUAAACCAUAUUAGGGAAGAUAUCAUGAGAGUCCCAGCAGGAAGUAGAUGUCACAUACUAAAGUAUUUAAUUAAACAAUUAACGAAGGGACUAUUUACAGAAAUGUACACAGAACAACAAAGGACAGUGAAGCACUCAGGCACUAGCGACAGGGGGGCACCAUGACCAAAUCCAGAGGAGUGAUUCUUUCUCACCCAUCUUUAAAUCUCUAGUCUCGCCCAGUAACUGUCACAUCACUGUCAUUAUGAUCAUCAUAAUAGCUGUGAUUUAAUGAAGGCUUCUCAUGUGCUGGCCACUAAGCUAAACUCUAUACACAUCAUUUCACAUGUUUUCAGCCACUGUAUAAUUUGGGAACUAUUGAGUAUAUUUUCCAAAAUGGACAGUGAAAUUCAGGAGUCAAAAAACGAAUAGACUGUCAUACAGCUAAUAUGUGCUGAAGCAGAAUUAAAAAUCGUGCCUGACUGACUCAAAAUACUGUGCUAUCCAAGUUACAGUAAGUGAAGCCCCAUUUUAAAUGUCAAGUAAAUUAUUUCUACUGUGUUUACUAUUAAAUUGUUACUACUCCAAAAACCAGUAGACCAGUAGUUUUCCAUUUAAUCCAG